UACGAAGGGGGCUAGCGUUGCUCGGAAUUACUGGGCGUAAAGCGCACGUAGGCGGCUUUCUAAGUCGGGGGUGAAAUCCUGGAGCUCAACUCCAGAACUGCCUUCGAUACUGGAAAGCUCGAGUCCGGGAGAGGUGAGUGGAACUGCGAGUGUAGAGGUGAAAUUCGUAGAUAUUAGGAAGAACACCAGUGGCGAAGGCGGCUCACUGGUCCGGUACUGACGCUGAGGUGCGAAAGCGUGGGGAGCAAACAGG
rnacentral:rRNA from 1 species